rnacentral:tRNA from 1 species
UGGGGUGUAGCUCAGUGGUAGAGCAUUCGCCUAGCAUGUUCCAAGCCCUGGGUUUGAUCCCCAACACCCUGA